UACAGAGGGGGCAAGCGUUGUUCGGAAUUACUGGGCGUAAAGGGCGCGUAGGCGGCCCGCUAAGUCGAACGUGAAAUCCCCGAGCUCGACUCGGGAACUGCGUCCGAUACUGGUUGGCUUGAGUUUGGGAGAGGGAUGCGGAAUUCCAGGUGUAGCGGUGAAAUGCGUAGAUAUCUGGAGGAACACCGGUGGCGAAGGCGGCAUCCUGGACCGGUAUUGACGCUGAUGCGCGAAAGCCAGGGGAGCAAACGGG
rnacentral:rRNA from 1 species